UACGGAGGGUGCAAGCGUUAUCCGGAUUUACUGGGUUUAAAGGGUGCGUAGGCGGGAAUAUAAGUCAGUUGUGAAAUCUCCGGGCUUAACUCGGAAAGGUCAACUGAUACUGCUCGACUAGAGUGCGGAAGGGGCAACUGGAAUUCUUGGUGUAGCGGUGAAAUGCGUAGAUAUCAAGAGGAACACCUGCGGCGAAGGCGGGUUGCUGGGCCGACACUGACGCUGAAGUGCGAAAGCUAGGGGAGCGAACGGG
rnacentral:rRNA from 1 species